GAAAAUACCGAAAACCCGUCAAAAACAUGGUGUAAAAGCUAAAUAUGUUCAUACAUACUUUAAAUUAAAUAACUAAAGUAUAAAAUUACUUUUACAAUGACACGUGGGCCCCUAACUAACCAAUAAGAUGCGAGUUUGUGAACCUACAAUUUUGUCGAUGCAAGGCUAACUGAAGUCCUUGAUGCAAUCGGCUAUCCCGAGCCUGAAAUGUGGGGAUUUGAGGGUGGUGAGAUUAUAAAAUUCCAGUGAGUAAACAGACACCAUCUAAACUAUCUAAAGGCGAGUAAAUGGAAACGAAUUAAAAUAUUCUUUUCCAAUAUAUGUUUUAUAACAUGAAUAUUCAGUUUACUCAAUUAAUCAACAUGGCUUAUAUUUCUCACAAAACUUGGCUCCUGCCAAAAUCAUUCUCGCGGGUACCUUCGUUAAGGUAUCCCACUGAAACCGCCAAGGUUGUUAAAUAUCCCAUGCCCAUAAACAUGUUUUUGCAUCUGACACACAGCCAUUCCUUGGAGUUGGCUGAGUCUCACUCUCACGCGGUGGUUAACGUGAAGUGCACUCAAAAAGCCCACCUCAGGAGAUACCCUACGCGCCUCUAUGAUGGAGGUGAGAACAUAAAAGAGUUUACCGUGCCCUUCUAAUAGGUUGGUCCACGGAACCCCCCACCACUGCAGUAGCUAAUCUUUAAUCCACCAAUUGAUCAAAUCUCAAUGGCAUAGCAUGACAAUUACAUUACCAACCAAUUUAUCAAGGCAAAACAGACAGUUCAUAUUUUUCAACACAAGUAUAAAUUCAGCCAAUCAUGUAAAUUUAUCACAAGCCAUUUAAUUCAAAUCAUAAUUUUACAACACAAGUAGGCAGUCUCCAAUUACUCUAUUUUCAAAACUAGUAUUCGAUUUUUCAGAAAAUUUAUAAAAUCAUUUUAUAAAAUCACAAUUUCUCCUAAAACAUAACAAUUUACCAUUUAAACCCAUUUUCCAUAAAAUCACACAAUUGUAUAAAACUACUCUAGAUAAUUAAGACAAUAAUAAGUUCACUCACAAUUCUAGGAGUAAAAAUACUCCAAUUUUCAGUCCGCGAGUACAGUCCUUUACCCGUAUCCAAUGGCUCACCACCUAGCCAUAAUGUACAAUACAUAAUUCACCACAUCAAUGCCUGACCAUUAUAAAAUCAAUUCAGGCUCGGUGUAUAUGCAUGAUAUGAUAUACAACUUAUCCGACUACCGCUUAAAUGCGGUGCUGACCUAAUUCGGCCUAUUACCUGAUUAAAUGACAAUUGUGUCCAAUUUGGCUCCAAAUUGCUCCAUUUCUUUUCCAAUCCCUCAAUUCACCAAGCACAACUAAUUAACACACAAUUAGGCAAAUUUAUCUUCACUUUUCUUCUUGGAACUUUCGGGCAACAAUGGUACACUAACUCCGUGAUUUUUCUUACUUAAGUUUCUCUCCAUAAUUCAUUAAUUCCUACACCAAAAACUAUUAUUUCUUAAUCAAAUCACCUAGAAUAACAUCCCAUUCUUCCUCAUUAUUCACUUACAAAAUUCGACUAUUGAUGGGCAUCAAACCUUUGGUGGUUUUCUUCACUUGUUUUCAUGCUACACAUCAUUAAUCACCUAAAAACACUAACAUACCUAAAAAUCAAACCAAUCCAAGAUCAUUCUCUCUCCAUACCCAUUUUGACCAGCCAUGAAUACAUCAUGAAAACAUGUAAUUUAACCAUGGAAAUUAAGGGAAAAUGCAUGGGUAAGGUAAAUCACUAGCAAAACCAAAGAAAUUUUACCUUUGCUUGAUCAAAUCCUUGAAUUCCAACACUUUCUCUUUGAUUUUUCCCACCUAGGGUUUGUUCUUCCUUCGUUUCUCUUCUUUUCUGGUUUG
rnacentral:lncRNA from 1 species